CCAGCAACUGCAUGUCGCUGGGACCAUCUGCAGUACCGGUGAGCCACCUGCCUGUUGUGGCCAGCCCUGAGCAUGAUAGUGGGCUACCUGGGGCUGUGCUCCAGUCCCUUUCUGGCUGCAAGAAUACAAAUACUGAAAAAUUAACUACAGUAUAUGAGUCCAAUAUAUUAAUGGUAUAUACUAUCUUUCCUUGAAAUUUGCCAAUGAAGCCAGGAAAAUCAAAAAGAGAGGUACCACCCCCAAUACUGUCUAUUAAUACAAUCAAAGGGGCAAAUGCUGCAACAAGGCAGACAGAUGCUGGCAGAGCUUGUCUGGGCAACUUGCACUAACAAGAGGAAGCAAAGGAGGAGGAGGGGACCCUGGCUGAUUGUCCAAGCUGAACAGAUACUGAGCAGAUGCUGUGGGCUCUGCUGAAGGAUAGAAGGAUGCAGCUGAUUUGGGUGCCCUGGGCAAAACAGGAAGCACUGUGUCAGGUCUGUUACCCACAGCUCUUCCAUAUUGCUUGCCUGAUGUAUUUUUCCAGUACUGUUUAUGUUCACAGGAGCAGCCUGGUUCCCGAGACAGCCUUAUCUAGGAUGGCUCACCACAGAGACCUUGAGACAACAACUCCUUUCGCUUUCCCACCUUCUGUACUAGUUGGGUAGACACUGAGGGUGAAGGCUGGACGAAAGGGGUGAUAUACUGUAGCAAGCACUUAACAUGUGAUUCUCAACAAGAGAUCUAUAUACAGCCAGAAGCUUAUUUUAGCCUUUGGAUUAUCUAUGGACACUUGUACUUUCUGAAUAUAUAUUCUCUCAAUAAAUAACCUUUGACUCAA